UGGUAGUUCCCAGGAAAAAGAAGGUGGACUGUUCAGUGGCCACAGUGACUCCCCCCAGGCAGGCAUGCUCUGCCCUCUGAAGCAGGCUGCAACACUUCUGGGAGGGGCUCCCAAAUGGACUCCUGCCUUUCACUGGUGACAGGUUUCUAUCCAGUCUAAAAUAUUUAUGUGGCUCAGUAUCUGGAAUCCUCCUAGACGAUGGAAGAGCAGAGCAGCUCGGAAUCCUUGCACAGCCCCAUAGAGUGGAGCUAUCUUCCCAAACGUUCCGUCCUCAACUGAAACACAAGUGACUCUGGUCUGGGAUAUGGGACUGCUUCAGACCGUCCACAGCAUCUGGUUAUGAUCGAGCUCAUCCCCUAGCAGGGGUCCAGCCUUUUGAAGAAGGGGGCUGAAAGAUUAAAAAGGAAGGUUGCUGGCCUCUCUUGCUGGCUGGCCAGCCUUCCUCGGAGCUGCUGCUGCCGCCGC